UCCUCUGUCUGUCGGAUGGAGCCUCACAUUUGACUGAGUCAGACAGUUCAGACCGUUUGUUGGGUGUUGAUAGUGCAGGCUGACCACUUGCUGGUGGUAGAGCAUUCUACUUUCUCGACAUAAGUGCAUUGUAGACAAAUCGUAACUCAUGCUCGCUGUUAGCGCAGAUGUGAAGAGCUCUUUUGGUUUCCAUAUCUAUCUCAUUUUGCCUGAUUGCCUAGGUAAUACAACGUUUUCAAAUGGGCUUAUAUCAUUUGUGUUAUCUCUUCAGUUACAAAGCAUGAAAAAACAGUGAUUGUCGCCUAUAAUCACUCUAGCACAAGAAAUUUCAGAGGCUCUUUUCAUUAAAUAACUUAUGCAAUAUAGCUAAAAGGACCCAUUUGGACUAAUGGCUAGCUUUUAGGGAAGUUGGAGUAAUUAUUUUUGUUCCGUACCAACGAGGAAAUUCCUUCGUUCUAAAUGGUGAAAUAAAUGCAUCUCUAAUUUUUUCACAUGGGUGAGAUCUUCUAGCACAGAUAAUUUGUUUACUUCAGAUCUUUUUUAGUGCACCAAUAUCAUGUGUUCGACAAUUUUAGUGUUUCCCUAGAGGCUUUCUUUAUAAUUUUACAUGAUUGCUUUCUUGCUAGAUUUUGUUGUUCCAUCCUAAUCAUGAUUUUAGGGAUAUUCAUUAAUUUUCACAGCUUUUCUUUAUGAAUGUUCAGUAUUCAAUGUAUGCAUGAUCCCGCUGGGCGCUCUUGCUUAAGAGCCAAGUUAUGACUGCUAAUAUUGGUCAUGUUAAUUUCAUUCCAUGGAUACACACCAGGAGAUGUGACCUAAUAGGAACUCGAUCACAUCAUGGACAAGCUUUUCGGUGUUGGAUUUCACAAUGAAGAGAAUAAUGGGACCGGCAACAUGGAGCUUCUACGUCUGAUGCGCCAUUUUUUCGUAUUGAGGUUGAAAGAUAUUUAACCUUUUAAAGUGAGGAGCACGGAAAUAAACUUCUCAAUUUCGUAUCAUCACACUGAGUUUGAGAGAUCUAG